rnacentral:rRNA from 1 species
CCCUUAGAUGUUCUGGGCCGCACACGCGCUACACUGAAGGAGGCAGCGUGUACUCCUGGAUCGAAAGAUUUGGGUAACCCGCGAAUCUCCUUCGUGCUAGGGAUUGAGGUUUGCAAUUAUCCUUCAUGAACGAGGAAUUCCCAGUAAGUGCAAGUCAUAAGCUUGCACUGACUACGUCCCUGCCCUUUGUACACACCGCCCGUCGCUCCUACCGAUGGGGUGAUCCGGUGAAUGAUUCGGACUCUGUAGUCUCGCUAUGAGUUUUAACGGAGAAAGUCUUGUGAACCUUAUCACUUGGAGGAAGGAGAAGUCGUAACA